AUGAACGCUGGCGGCGUGCCUAAUACAUGCAAGUCGAGCGAACAGACGAGGAGCUUGCUCCUCUGACGUUAGCGGCGGACGGGUGAGUAACACGUGGAUAACCUACCUAUAAGACUGGGAUAACUUCGGGAAACCGGAGCUAAUACCGGAUAAUAUAUUGAACCGCAUGGUUCAAUAGUGAAAGACGGUUUUGCUGUCACUUAUAGAUGGAUCCGCGCCGCAUUAGCUAGUUGGUAAGGUAACGGCUUACCAAGGCAACGAUGCGUAGCCGACCUGAGAGGGUGAUCGGCUACACUGGAACUGAGACACGGUCCAGACUCCUACGGGAGGCAGCAGUAGGGAAUCUUCCGCAAUGGGCGAAAGCCUGACGGAGCAACGCCGCGUGAGUGAUGAAGGUCUUCGGAUCGUAAAACUCUGUUAUUAGGGAAGAACAAAUGUGUAAGUAACUAUGCACGUCUUGACGGUACCUAAUCAGAAAGCCACGGCUAACUACGU
rnacentral:rRNA from 1 species